AUGAUUGAAGCUUCUUCCUUCAUUUGGGCUCUCCUCCUUCUCACCUCUGUCUAUCAGACAUCUGACCAACGACAUAUUUCUAGUGUGGGAGAUAUUUUUGAGAGUACAGGAAAUCCAGAGGUGGAUGAUGUCCUUUCAAAGAUCCCAUUUGACAUCGGAGAUGUAACGAAUCAACAAAGCGUUAAUGUGACGACGGUAAAGAUUCAGCUAUGUACAGGAAUAAAAGAAGAGCUGGGAUCCGUGAAGAUGGAGCUUGAGCAAACAGCUCGCCGUUACAAUGAGCUGGAUGAGGAGACCUUGGGGUUGAGGCGCGAGGUCAGGCAGCUUCAAAUGAGACUGUCUACAUGCAGCUCGACCGCGUCGGCCAUCGCUGGGUCCUACCAAACCCAGCUGCAGAUAAAAAUGAACCAGCUGCUGGAAGUUAUCAACAGUGAAACAUUUCAAAUUCUGAAAAUCAUGGCUCUCACAAGGGAGGUGCAAGUUUUGCAGAAGAAAAUUCAACUUGCUUCUAAAAAUACCAAUAAAACCAGUGAGAUGAGAGCUCUGCAGAGAGAACUUCAAGAAAAGGUUGUGGAGCUGAACUCAAAGAGAGAGCGAUUCGAGAACAGCCACUCAAAUGCUGCUCUUAUUCUACAGAUAAUCUCACUGCAAAGCCAGAUCUGGGAUUUAUAUCAAACUGAGGCAAAGGGGGGAGCUGCUGUUCAGCCAGAUCCGAGCAUUCUGGCUCUACAAGAACAGCUCAACAUGAAGAUCAAGGAAUUGCAAAGCAAAGAGGAGACCAUCACAGCUAUGCUGGAGAUGAUCUCUGUGCACAGUAAGAUCACAGUGAUCCAGAAAAUGAUACGACACCUCACAGAAGAAUCCAAGAACAGGAAUGCGGCUCUCCUUUUGCAAUGGAGACAAAAAGGUGAGUUGCUGGCAAAGAAGAUUUCCCAACUGGCGGAUGAUGCAAAAAACCAAGAACUGACCAAAGAAAUUCUCAAGCUGCAGUAUGAGUUGGGUCAACUGGCCAAGCUUUUAAACGUUAAAGAGACCGUGGAAGCCCAGCUCACAGCUAAAACAGUUGAACUGGAGGUAGAGAAGUCACGGGAGGAAGCUCUGCAGAAAAAGCUGGAGCAGACAGACUAUGCUACAUCACAGCUGAUCUUCAAGAUCAUUAGCAUCAUGGAGGAGCUGAGGGAACAGCGGAUUGUGGCGCCAACAGGUGAAACCCAGGACAUUUUAACUCUCCUACAAACCUAUAAAAAAGACUAUGCUGAAGCCAAGACUGAAAUAAAGGAUCUGAAGGAAAAAUUGGAGAGGACGCAAGAGGAGUGUUCAGGGCUUGAAGAAAGACAUGAAAAGUUGAAGACGGAGCUUGAGCAGAAGAUCAUGAAACUCAACAGAACGGCGGAUUCCAAAGCAGCUCUCGUUCUAAACGUGUUAAACCUGUACGGAGAGAUAAACGCUUUGAGGGAGCAGAUCUCAAAGUCAGGUGAACCAGAAGUGCUUCUAAGUCCAGUCCUUGUUUCUCGCAGGCGCGUUGAGUGGCUUCAUUCAAGAAAAGGCAAAAUCGAUUCCAACCCACCGUCAAUAAGACACGAACUCCAAAAUCUUAAUGAUGACCCGCAGAUGCAACUGUAUCCAAUAAAGGUCCCGUUACUUGUGCCGAAUGACCUCUUUCCUCCACGGGACCAGGAUCCCAUAGAAAAGAGAAAAGAACUAAGGAGACAGUUGGAGCAGAAACAAGACGAGCUGAACUUGAAGACGGCAGAGAUUCAGAGACUGGUUUCUAACCCACAAACAAUGUUAACAAUUAUUGAUCUGCAGAAUAAAAUCUGGGAUUUUCAGAAAAAAGACACAAACUGGACAAAUGAGGAGCUUAAAGCUUUGCAAACAAAACUGGAUUCUUUGGUGGAUGGAAUAGACAGUGAUGGUGAAGAUAACACAUUUCAGGCACUAAAAAUCCUGACACUGCAGAGUCAGGUUGAGUAUCUACAGAACCAACUGUCCAACCUGAAGCUGUCGCACAACUCCACACAAACUCAACUCCAAAAUGAGCUGGCGGCAAAAGAGAAUGAACUGAAGCGUUACAUCUUUGAAAUGAUGGAGAAGGACCAGACAAAUGGAAAACUUAUUUUAGACAUUGCUGAACUCCAAAUCCAACUCAAUGAAAUCGAAAAACAAAAGGAAACGGAAGAUAAAACGAGUGCUGCAACAAUUUCCAAGCUGACGAAGCAACUGCAACUCCAAGAGGAGGAAAACAAUCAAAAUAAAGCUUUGAUUAUUACCCUGCAGAACAAGAUAAACCAGAGAGAAACGCAAUGUUCUGAAUACGAGAAGAAAAUUAAAGAUCUCCAGAAUGACAUAAAUACAAACCUUAAGGAACUCAAAGGAAAAUCUGACACCAUAAGUUCACUUGUUCUUCAAAUUUCUACGUUAAGUGUGGAAGUGGAGCAGCUGGGAAACCAACUCCAGAACUCUGUGUCCACAUCUAAAGUGGAAGAAUUAAAGGCAAUUAUAGAGGAAAAGAACAAAGAACUGGAACAAAAAGCUGAAGAACUUAAAGAAAGGAGUCCUGAAGCACAAAGACGUGAGCACAACCCAAACGAAGCACCUAAAGGGGCCAAAAUUAUCUAG
rnacentral:lncRNA from 1 species